rnacentral:rRNA from 1 species
GACGAACGCUGGCGGCGCGCUUAACACAUGCAAGUCGAGCGAGAACCAGGGCUUCGGCUCUGGGGACAGCGGCGAACGGGUGAGUAACACGUGGGUAAUCCACCCUCGGCACCGGAAUAGCCCGGGGAAACCCGGAUUAAUGCCGGAUGGCCCGCCGGCCCCGAGGGGCUGGCGGAAAAGGUAGCUUCGGCCUCCGGCCGAGGACGAGCCCGCGACGGAGUAGCUUGUUGGGGGGGUAACGGCCUACCAAGGCUGCGAUCCGUAGCUGGUUUGAGAGGACGAUCAGCCACAGUGAGACUGGGACACGGCCCAGACUCCUACGGGAGGCAGCAGUGGGGAAUCUGGCGCAAUGGGCGAAAGCCUGACGCAGCGACGCCGCGUGGGGGAAGAAGGCCUUCGGGUUGUAAACCUCUUUCAGGAGGGACGAAGCCACUCGGGUUAAUAGCCCAGAGGGUGACGGUACCUCCAGAAGAAGCCCCGGCUAACUACGUGCCAGCCGCCGCGGUAACAC